GCCACGUACCUAGAGUCCCAUUAACUCUGGAGGCUGAAGUGGGAGGAGCACUUGAGCCUGGAGUUCUGGUCUGUAGUGUGCUAUGAUCAUUAGGUAUCUGCACUAAGUUUGGCAUCAAUAUAACCUCUUGGGAGCAAGGGACCACUAGGUUUCCUAAAGUGGGGUGAACCAACCCAAGUCAGAAACUGGAGCAAGUCAGAACACCCCUGCUGAUCAAUAGUGGGAUUACACAUGUGAAUAACCCCUGCACUAAAGCCUGGACAACAUAAUGAGACUCUGUCUCUU
rfam:Otolemur garnettii contig085586, whole genome shotgun sequence.